AUUGAACGCUGGCGGCAGGCCUAACACAUGCAAGUCGAGCGAGCGGCGGACGGGUGAGUCAUGUCUUGGGACUGCCCGAUAUAGGGGGAUAACUACUGGAAACGGUUUCUAAUACCGCAUACUGUCUGAUAACCCAUAGGGGAGUAGCUAGUAGGUAAGGUAAUGGCUUACCUAGGCGACGAUCCCUAGCUGGUCUGAGAGGGUGAUCAGCCACACUGGGACUGAGACAAGGCCCAGACUCAUACGGAGGCAGCAGUGGGGAAUAUUGCACAAUGGGUGCAAGCCUGAUGCAGCCAGGCCGCGUGUAUGAAGAAGGCCCUAGGGUUGUAAAGUACUUUCAGUCGGGAGGCGUUACCGACAGAAGAAGCACCGGCUAACUCCGUGCCAGCAGCCGCGGUAAUUC
rnacentral:rRNA from 1 species